AAUAGAUACCCUGGUAGUCCACGCCGUAAACGAUGAGUGCUAAGUGUUAGGGGGGUUUCCGCCCCUUAGUGGCUGCAGCUAACGCAUUAAGCACUCCGCCUGGGGAGUACGGUCGCAAGACUGAAACUCAAAGGAAUUGACGGGGGGCCCGCACAAGCGGUGGAGCAUGUGGUUUAAUUCGAAGCAACGCGAAGAACCUUACCAGGUCUUGACAUCCCAUUGACCACUAUGGAGACAUAGUUUUCCCUUCGGGGACAACGGUGACAGGUGGUGCAUGGUUGUCGUCAGCUCGUGUCGUGAGAUGUUGGGUUAAGUCCCGCAACGAGCGCAACCCUUGUUCUUAGUUGCCAUCAUUUAGUUGGGCACUCUAAGGAGACUGCCGGUGACAAACCGGAGGAAGGUGGGGAUGACGUCAAAUCAUCAUGCCCCUUAUGACCUGGGCUACACACGUGCUACAAUGGACGGUACAAACGGUUGCCAACCCGCGAGGGGAGCUAAUCCGAUAAACCGUUCUCAGUUCGGAUUGUAGGCUGCAACUCGCCUACAUGGAAC
rnacentral:rRNA from 1 species